AUUGAACGCUGGCGGCAGGCCUAACACAUGCAAGUCGAGCGGAUGACGGGAGCUUGCUCCUUGAUUCAGCGGCGGACGGGUGAGUAAUGCCUAGGAAUCUGCCUGGUAGUGGGGGACAACGUUUCGAAAGGAACGCUAAUACCGCAUACGUCCUACGGGAGAAAGCAGGGGACCUUCGGGCCUUGCGCUAUCAGAUGAGCCUAGGUCGGAUUAGCUAGUUGGUGGGGUAAUGGCUCACCAAGGCGACGAUCCGUAACUGGUCUGAGAGGAUGAGCGGUCAAACGGGAACUGAGACAAGGUCCAGACUCCGCCGGGAGGCAGAGGUGGGGAAGAUUGGACAAUGGGCGAAAGCCUGAUCCAGCCAUGCCGCGUGUGGGAAGAAGGUCUUCGGAUUGUAAAGCACGUUAAGUUGGGAGGAAGGGCAGUAAGUGAAUACCUUGCUGUUUUGACGUUACCGACAGAAUAAGCACCGGCUAACUCUGUGCCAGCCGCCGCCGUAAGAC
rnacentral:rRNA from 1 species